rnacentral:rRNA from 1 species
GGCGAACGGGUGAGUAACACGUUGGGUAACCUGCCCUGGAGUGGGGGAUAACCUGGGGAAACUCGGGCUAAUACCGCAUACGACCUCAGCACUGCGGUGCUGAGAGGAAAGCUGGCCAAUUCUUGAAAGCUAGCGCUCCCGGAGGGGCCCGCGCCCGAUUAGCUUGUUGGUGAGGUAACGGCUCACCAAGGCUGUGAUCGGUAGCCGGCCUGAGAGGGCGAUCGGCCACACUGGGACUGAGACACGGCCCAGACUCCUACGGGAGGCAGCAGUGGGGAAUAUUGGACAAUGGGCGCAAGCCCGAUCCAGCAACGCCGCGUGGAGGACGAAGGCCUUCGGGUCGUAAACUCCUGUCA